UACGUAGGGUGCGAGCGUUAAUCGGAAUUACUGGGCGUAAAGGGUGCGCAGGCGGCCAAGUGUGUGAGGCGUGAAAGCCCGGGGCUUAACCCCGGAAUUGCACCUCAAACUACAUGGCUAGAGCAUUGGAGAGGGUAGCAGAAUUCAUGGUGUAGCAGUGGAAUGCGCAGAUAUCAGGAGGAACACCGAUGGCGAAGGCAGGUCACUGGGCCGCAACUGACGCUGAGGAGCGAAAGCAUGGGGAGCGAACAGG
rnacentral:rRNA from 1 species